CAACCAAUGAAAUCGAUCGGAACCAAAUGAUCUUAAUAAACGUCAAUCACUUUACACAACGGUAGAUGCCCUCAAGACUCGAAAGUGAAAGGAAGCAAAGGCUUCUCUGAACGAAACAAUAAAAAUAACCUUGCCAAAUGGGAAUGAAAUCGAAGGCAUUGCAUGGAAGACAACACCAUUUGAUGUUGCUCUAUCAAUAAGUCAAGGUUUGGCAGACAAUGCUGUCAUUGCUAAGGUGAAUGGCGAGGUUUUUGAUCUAGAUAGACUAUUAGAGAAUGAUUCCAACCUGGAACUUUUAAAAUUUGAUGACAAAGAAGCUCAACAGGUAUUUUGGCAUUCAAGUGCUCAUAUAAUGGGUGAAGCGAUGGAACGCCAUUAUGGUGGUCUGCUGUGUUACGGUCCUCCCAUUGAAGAAGGAUUUUAUUAUGAUAUGUUUUUAGAUGAAAAGUAAGCAUACACUUUAACCAUUCGAUAAUGCUCAAUAUAUAACAUAAUUUCUCCAUCAUCAUUUUGUUGUGUAUUCAAGACUCAAGUUGAAUUGAACUACAUAGAAAAAUUUACAAUCAAUAUUUUGACUUGAUCAAGACAAAAAUUAACGCUUUGCAAAUUACGAAGCAAUUUCAUUAACCUUUCUUGAUGAUUAAUGAUAAAUUUGCUACCAGAAAACAUUUCUUCUUACAUUGCUAUGAAGGCUGUGUUCCCAUUAUGCUUUGUGACCACCCCUUUUAUGUGAAAAUAUGCCAACAGAUCAUUUUAAUCGGACCUUGCUUGAAUAGUUUCAGAGUAAAUAUUACUGUCAAUUGUAUACGCUAUGAAACAUAGCAUUUUCAAUCAAAGUUAAAAACACAAA